rnacentral:rRNA from 1 species
AACGAACGCUGGCGGCAGGCUUAACACAUGCAAGUCGAACGCUGUAGCAAUACAGAGUGGCAGACGGGUGCGUAACACGUGGGAACAUACCUUUUGGUUCGGAAUAACUUGGGGAAACUUAAGCUAAUACCGGAUAAGCCCUUCGGGGGAAAGAUUUAUUGCCGAAAGAUUGGCCCGCGUCUGAUUAGCUAGUUGGUGAGGUAAUGGCUCACCAAGGCGACGAUCAGUAGCUGGUCUGAGAGGAUGAUCAGCCACACUGGGACUGAGACA